GAUGAACGCUGGCGGCGUGCCUAAUACAUGCAAGUCGAACGCAUUGAGAGAAGUGCUUGCACUUUUCAAUUUGAGUGGCGAACGGGUGAGUAACACGUUCGCAACCUACCUGAUAGCGGGGGAUAACGAGUGGAAACAUUCGCUAAUACCGCAUAACGACAGCGAAGGCAUCUUCUUAAUUUCAAAGGCGAUUUCAAGCGUCACUAUCAGAUGCGCCCGUGGUGCAUUAGUUAUGUGGUGGGGUGAAGGCCUACCAAGACGAUGAUGCAUCGACGAGUUGCGAGACUGAUCGGACACAUUAGGACUGCGACACAGCCCAAACUCCUACGGGAGGCUGCAGUAGGGAAUCUUCCACAAUGUUCGAAAGUCUGAUGGGUCAUCGCCGCGUGUGUGAUGAAGGCUUUCGGGUCGUAAAGCACUGUUGUAUGGGAAGAAAUGCUAGGCUAGGAAAUGAGCUUAGUUUGACGGUACCAUACCAGAAAGGGACGGCUAAAUACGUGCCAGCAGCCGCCGUAA
rnacentral:rRNA from 1 species